rnacentral:rRNA from 1 species
CCUACGGGAGGCAGCAGUGAGGAAUAUUGGUCAAUGGACGAGAGUCUGAACCAGCCAAGUAGCGUGAAGGAUGACUGCCCUAUGGGUUGUAAACUUCUUUUAUAAAGGAAUAAAAUGAGGCACGUGUGCCUUUUUGCAUGUACUUUAUGAAUAAGGAUCGGCUAACUCCGUUCCAGCAGCCGCGGUAAUACGGAGGAUCCGAGCGUUAUCCGGAUUUAUUGGGUUUAAAGGGAGCGUAGAUGGGUUGUUAAGUCAGUUGUGAAAGUUUGCGGCUCAACCGUAAAAUUGCAAUUGAGACUGGAAGUCUUGAGUACAGUUGAGGUAGGCGGAAUUCGUGGUGUAGCGGUGAAAUGCUUAGAUAGCACGAAGAACCCCGAUUGCGAAGGCAGCUUACUAAACUGUCACUGACAUUGAUGCUCGAAAGUGUGGGUAUCAAACAGGAUUAGAUACCCCAGUAGGC